AGCGAACGCUGGCGGCAGGCCUAACACAUGCAAGUCGAACGAACUCUUCGGAGUUAGUGGCGGACGGGUGAGUAACACGUGGGAACGUGUCUUUUGGUUCGGAAUAACUCAGGGAAACUUGUGCUAAUACCGAAUGUGCCCUUCGGGGGAAAGAUUUAUCGCCAUUAGAGCGGCCCGCGUCUGAUUAGCUAGUUGGUGAGGUAACGGCUCACCAAGGCGACGAUCAGUAGCUGGUCCGAGAGGAUGACCAGCCACACUGGGACUGAGACACGGCCCAGACUCCUACGGGAGGCAGCAGUGGGGAAUCUUGCGCAAUGGGCGAAAGCCUGACGCAGCCAUGCCGCGUGAAUGAUGAAGGUCUUAGGAUUGUAAAAUUCUUUCACCGGGGACGAUAAUGACGGUACCCGGAGAAGAAGCCCCGGCUAACUUCGUG
rnacentral:rRNA from 1 species